UACAGAGGGGGCAAGCGUUGUUCGGAAUUACUGGGCGUAAAGGGCGCGUAGGCGGCCCGCUAAGUCGAACGUGAAAUCCCCCGAGCUCAACUCGGGAACUGCGUCCGAUACUGGUGGGCUCGAAUCCGGGAGAGGGAUGCGGAAUUCCAGGUGUAGCGGUGAAAUGCGUAGAUAUCUGGAGGAACACCGGUGGCGAAGGCGGCAUCCUGGACCGGUAUUGACGCUGAGGCGCGAAAGCCAGGGGAGCAAACGGG
rnacentral:rRNA from 1 species